rnacentral:lncRNA from 1 species
UUUUUUCUUCUUUUUAAUCCCUAUUUUUGCAUAGACCAAUUCUUUUGAAUUUGUGGUCCAUCGGAGUGCCCUAACUUUUGCCUAAGUCAACUCCUUUUUAGUUUUUGACUCAGCGGGCUCUUUUUGAAACAUGAUGCCUUAACUUUUUCCUAAGUCAAAUUUUCAGGUUUUUUCUUUUUGACUUACCGAGCCUUUUUUUUAAAACAAC